rnacentral:tRNA from 1 species
CAAAAUGUGGCUCAAACAGAAAAGCAUCUCUCUUACGCUGAGAAGUUAUCCGUGCAAAUCGGAUCAUUUUGA